UGAAACUCUGCCGGUUUUUGCCUUUUACUUUUCUCAUCACGAUUGUUAAAGACUUUGAUGGCUAAAUUAAGAAGGUCUCUUUGUGGGGUUUGAGGGCCGUCAUCAAGCUUCUGAAGCUUGCGCCGAAUAUCGGGGUGGAUUGGGAGAUGAACCGAAGGUUUAAGCUAGUGUUUCCUGCUGAGGGUUUGAAGGGAGAAGGGGGGUUGUGUUAACAGGCAGUGGAGGAUAGAUAGGGGCGUAAGGUGGCGGGAUGGGUUUACAAGCCUCAGGAGAGGGCAGUUGUGGACGAGAAUACGUGCAAGCAAUACUAGAAUUGUCCUGAGGGGGGAUGGUGUAGGAAAAGAAGUGGAUACAGCUGACUGGGAAGAUGGCGGCUGGGAAGAUGGCAACUGAGAAGACAAUGAGGAGGCUUUCGGGGUUAAAGAAGGCAGUUGAGAGGAAAAGGUAGGGGCUGGGAGGGGUGGACAGCAGUCAGCUGGAUUAAACGAGGAAAAAGAGGGUCUUGCUGUGCCACUCAGGCUAGAGUACACUGGUGUGAUCUCAGCUCACUGCAGCCUUGACCUCUGGGUUCAAGUGAUCCUCCCAUCUUGGCCUCCCAAUGUGCUGGAAUUACAGGCAGGAACCACUGAUUUACAAUCUUCUAAUAAGAGUCUUUAUCUUAAAGAUAUUUGUUUCCUGUGUUUGAGAAUUAAAAUGCUGGCUUUUUGCUGAAUAAAAAC
rnacentral:lncRNA from 1 species